GACGUAGGUGGCGAACGUUAUCCGGAAUUAUUGGGCGUAAAGGGUGCGUAGGUGGCCUGGCAAGUUAUCAGUGGCAAAUCGAGGCUCAACCUCGUGGAAACUGGUAAUACUGUCCGGCUUGAGUGCAGGAGAGGUUAACGGAACUCUAUGUGGAGCGGUAAAAUGCACAGAUAUAUAGAAGAACAUCAAUAACGGCGAAGGCAGUUAACUAUUCUGUUUCUGACACUGAGGCACGAAAGCGUGGGGAGCAAAACGG
rnacentral:rRNA from 1 species